rnacentral:misc_RNA from 1 species
AUUUAAGUUUCAGUAUACUUACAUGAAAAUUUAUUUGAAUUCAAGCGGGUGUUAAUAACAUGAAUUAACCCAACAGCUAGAUCAACGCAAGAAUGCCUUUUUCCCCCUCCUUCUUCUUCUCUACAACAUUUACUAAAUCUCCGUCGACGCCAUAGUUUAGAGUUGGGAGAGACAAAGAAAUGGGUCAACAAGGAAGUUCGAUUCCUGUCUAGCUCUG